GGCCUGAACAUGGAUCGAUACCGUCCGCCCGCCCCCGUUUCCGUCAGCAGCACCGGCUCGGACUGCAGACACGUGGCGCAUGUGCCGCCAAGAGAUCCUGCUGUCGGAGUUCCUUUCUGCCGAAAUCGAAACCACCAGUGGAAGAAGGAGAAGGAGCCUGAGCGUGACGCACUUCUUGCUCAGUUCUUACGUCUUCGCAUACGCACUCCUCUGCGGGAGAUAUAAUAAAACCCUUCAUCUCAAUCCUCCGGGAGGCUCCAAUCGUACCCUUGUUCGGUUUCUUUCUCCAACCCUCCUGCAGGAGGUUCUCUCUCGGCUUUUACCGGGAUUUGCCUCGUUGAAUAUUGGGUCAAGUCUCACUGUUGUACAUUCUCCACUGAGGAUAUUUUUUGUCAACAGAUUCUUAAAUGCAGUUACAGGCAAACUAAUGCACAACAGCUGGGUUUCGGUUUAGGUUUGCAAUGUCUCAGCUUGCCAAGGGUAAACGAGUUUGCAAGGAGGAGACUUCUGAUACCCAUUCCCAUGGAGUUCGAGGAUAUGGCAGAAACUCAGGUGACUUAGACCAUGAGAUCGCUCAGUUGACGAAGCUCAGAUCCGAGCCCAAUGAACAUUUGAGAAAGGCUACGGUGGGCGGAUUGAAAAUGCCUGUCUCUACCCUGAGAAUGUUGGCUGCUCGAGAGAGCAAUUAUUCAGGGAGAGGGAGGUUCUCCUUGUCUGAUAGCUGUCAUGUGUUGAGUAGAUGUUUGCCUAUUUAUGGCCCUCAAAAGGUGGAUAAGAUGCAAUCCCGUGCAUAUGUUUCUCAGUUUUCUGUUGAUGGUUCACUGUUUGUGGCGAGCUAACAGGGGAGCCAUAUUAGGAUAUACAACGUGGAUAAGGGCUGGAAAAUUCAGAAGGACAUACUGGCAAAAAGUUUGAAUUGGACGAUUACCGACACUUCUCUUUCUCCUGAUCAACGUUACCUCGUCUAUUCUAGUAUGUCACCUCUUGUCCACAUUGUUAAUAUUGAAUCUGCUGCAACAGAGUCACUUGCAAAUAUCAUGGAAAUACAUGAUGGCUUGGAUUUUUCUUCUGAUAACAAUGACGACAAUGAAGAUAUUUCUAUCUUCUCUGUGAAGUUCUCAACUGAUGGGCGAGAGCUUGUUGCUGCAAGUGGUGAUGGGGCAAUAUAUGUAUAUGAUCUUGCAGCAAACAAGGUUGGCCUUCAAAUCCCAGCUCAUGAGGUUGAUGUUAACACCGUAUGCUUUGCGGAUGAAAGUGGCCAUGUUAUUUAUUCUGGAAGUGAUGAUAAUCUCUGUAAGGUCUGGGACCGUCGUUGUCUUUCUACAACAGGACAAGCAGCUGGAGUUUUGACAGGACAUCUAGAAGGCAUUACAUUUAUUGAUAGUCGUGGAGAUGGACGCUACCUCAUUUCAAAUGGAAAGGAUCAGUCUACCAAACUAUGGGAUAUACGAAAGAUGACUUCAAAUAGUCCAGCAUUCCACAGGCGAAGAGACUUUGAUUGGGAUUACAGGUGGAUGGCCUACCCAGAGGAAGAUAGAAACUUGAAGCAUCCCCACGAUCAGUCGGUGGCUACAUAUAAAGGUCACUCAGUGUUGUAUACUCUGAUACGCUGUUACUUCUCCCCUGCAUAUAGCACUGGUCAGAAGUAUAUCUACACUGGAUCUGGUGACUGUGUAGUUUAUAUAUAUGAUCUGGUGAGUGGUCAUCAAGUUGCCAGACUCGAACAUCAUAGCCAACCUGUAAGGGAUUGCAGUUGGCAUCCAUUUUACCCGUUGAUGGUCACCUCUUCAUGGGAUGGUGUGAUUGCCAAGUGGGAAUUCCCAGGGGACAACAGGAAGGAAAAAUCAUCGUCUAGGCCAAGGCGGAGAAGCAGGAGGGCAAUGUUUUACUAGAGCGGGUCACAGCCUUAAAUGUCCCGGUUUUUUAUCAUCUUUUGCUCAUUGUUUAUAGUCAAAUUAACAUGGGAGGUGUCCAGUAUUGAUACACAUUACUGAGAUUUCUUCUUCAGUUCAUCCCCUUGCUGUAUAUAAAGCUCAGAACUAUUUCUUGUCAUUGCUUCAGCAGCAGUGAGAUGGGUUUAACAAUUAAGUAAAUCCAAAUAAGGGUUGUCUUUGUUAAUCGUCUGCUUCCCUCGGCCAAAUGUGGGGAAAGUCUAGGGCAUCAAAUAGAAGCAGUUCUCCAUGGCCGGUACUGAGUGGUCACUCUGUUGUUUGGCGAUGAACAAUUUUCAUUUGUUCUGUUUCUUUUGUUUGA